AAGAAAAGCUGGAGAUUUAAUGUGGACUUCCAAACUUUGAAGGACUAAUAUAAGGGAGAAGCUGUGGAUUUGUUCUCCAGAACAUCUCAAGUGACCAAGAAGAUCCCUUUGUUUUGAUAACCAAAACUAAUGAACCUGCUGCCAGCCAGAGCAUUCAUACCUGUUUCCAGAUGGAAUGGACCGAUGGAUUCAAAUUGAGCAUCAAAGAUUGAUUUGCAACGGCUGUUGUAACUCUGAAUGGUCACCAGAUCGAACUGCUGUAAGUUGAGGACUACAUGUGUUUAUCAUCGUUGUUGCGAUCAAGGAAUAACCCAGAACAAAGAACAAGAAAAAAAUUGUCCUAUUUGUUUGGAAACCAAAUUCACAGCAAGGAACCUGGGAAUUAUCUGAGCAAUAUUGCAAGAUAUAACAGGUGUUUGGCAAGGUGGAGAAAAACUGGUUGAACCUGAGAAGGAAGGAGAAGAAAAAAAAGGAAAAAAGUGAGAAUGAAAACAGGAACUGGUUUUGGAAGGACACUUCUCUUUCCUAGGUGAGGUUCAAAAUCCUGGCAUGUUUAUAGCUUCAGAGGCAGACAUCCAAUUAUGCCGAAUUGGAUCACCAGCCUCCCAAGGUAAAGAUGUGUCCCUUUCAAUAUUGUCAGGUUUUCGAUGUCACCAGAAUCAAAAGCUACCCUGAUAUUAGACCUUGGUUAUUGUUGUUGUUUUUUCCUCCCUGGAUGAGUUUGUCAGUGUCAUGAUUUACA